rnacentral:rRNA from 2 species
UCUACGGGAGGCAGCAGUGGGGAAUAUUGCACAAUGGGCGCAAGCCUGAUGCAGCCAUGCCGCGUGUAUGAAGAAGGCCUUCGGGUUGUAAAGUACUUUCAGCGGGGAGGAAGGCGACAAGGUUAAUAACCUUGUCGAUUGACGUUACCCGCAGAAGAAGCACCGGCUAACUCCGUGCCAGCAGCCGCGGUAAUA